UAAUCAAACUUUGACGCCACGCCACAGUCACACGGUGUGACGAAAAAAAAUUCCCUUGAUCAUUUUUUUCUCAAUGUUGUUGUGAUGACACUCAUCUGAAUUUGAAGUUGAUCAGAUAAAAGCUCUACGACAAGUACAUAAAACCAAAAAAGUAGAAUAUGGCUAAAAUGGACACUAAAUUCAAAAUGGCAGACUUCCUGUUGUUUUUUUCAUAAUGCUCCUUGAGACUUUUUUUCAUGACUGGUCACGAUACACCUAUGUCCCGAUUUUGGUAAAGAUCGAAGAAGGGGAAACCUAGGGGCUGGUUUCAGGGGGCGCUGUUGAGCCAUUUUGCCACGCCCAAUUCAAAUUUCUCCAGAAUACUAAAAUAUCCGCAGACUUUGAAUUUCCUGCAAAGUUUCACAACUUUUUGAGCAUGUCUAGACCCUGACAAAGCCCCCCAAAGGGAAAUAAUAAUAACUAGGGCUACGUUGUAGCACUAACGGGCCCGAGCACAGGCAAUUUCAAGUCUGUUGCGGUCGGGGAAGAGAGAGCGAUCGAUGACCAAGCGCACGUCUCUGCCUUGCGUGCGUUUUAAGCUCUGCAGCAAGAAUAAACGCGUCACUUCCUGUAGCCAGCAGGUGGCGCUAUGAUUUUAAGUCAUGGUGUCUUUGUAGAUGUCAUCAGGUCGCGACUCUUGUCUUACAUGUCUAGUUUGGAGUCGAUGGGACCAAAUAUGUCUAAGAUAUAGAAGCUUUUGUUUUCAUGGCGUGCAUCACAAUUUGCCGCCACGCCACGGUCAGACGGUGUGUGAGAAAGUUGUUUCUUUGAUAACUUUUUAUCUCCAUCUUGUUGUGUUGACACUCAUCUAAAUUUUUUGUUGAUUUGAUGAAAGCUCUCCGAGAAGUACAUAAAAAUAGAACAUGUACCAAAAACAAGACAUUUCCUGCUGCCACCAGGGGGCGCUCACAUUUUUAAGUCAAGAUUUCUGUGUUGUUGUCUUCAGGUUGCGACGCUGUCUUGUCUGUGUGUUGCAUGAGUUUGUGCACUGCUGCAAGGAUUGUCGCUUCAGUUCCUGUAGGCAGCAGGUGGCUCUAUGAACUAAAGAUGAGGAACUGCAGCACCUGAUGUUCUCAGCAGCAACAUGGUGGAGAUCUGCAGCUUCAUGCUGGUCAACAUGUGGACGAUGUCAUCAUCAUCAGAAGCUACACAACACUGUGAAAUUAGUCUUAUAUAAAGAUGGCCUGCAACUGUUUAGUGGUGGCAAUCAUUGUUAAUUGUCAUGGAUAACAAUUCAUUUCUAUCUUCAUUAUGGUUGGUUAAAAUAAUAAAAACUUAUAACAACAA